GGUCCGGUGAAGUGUUCGGAUCGCUGCGACACGGGCGGUUCGCCGCCCGCGACUCGGCGGGAAGUCCAUUGAACCUUAUCAUUUAGAGGAAGGAGAAGUCGUAACAAGGUUUCCGUAGGUGAACCUGCGGAAGGAUCAUUG
rnacentral:rRNA from 2 species